rnacentral:rRNA from 1 species
GAUGAACGCUGGCGGCGUGCCUAAUACAUGCAAGUCGAGCGAACAGACGAGGAGCUUGCUCCUCUGACGUUAGCGGCGGACGGGUGAGUAACACGUGGAUAACCUACCUAUAAGACUGGGAUAACUUCGGGAAACCGGAGCUAAUACCGGAUAAUAUAUUGAACCGCAUGGUUCAAUAGUGAAAGACGGUUUUGCUGUCACUUAUAGAUGGAUCCGCGCCGCAUUAGCUAGUUGGUAAGGUAACGGCUUACCAAGGCAACGAUGCGUAGCCGACCUGAGAGGGUGAUCGGCCACACUGGAACUGAGACACGGUCCAGACUCCUACGGGAGGCAGCAGUAGGGAAUCUUCCGCAAUGGGCGAAAGCCUGACGGAGCCACGCCGCGUGAGUGAUGAAGGUCUUCGGAUCGUAAAACUCUGUUAUUAGGGAAGAACAAAUGUGUAAGUAACUAUGCACGUCUUGACGGUACCUAAUCAGAAAGCCACGGCUAACUACGUG